CGUAACAAGGUCUCCGUAGGUGAACCUGCGGANGGAUCAUUACACAAAUAUGAAGGCGGGCUGGAACCUCUCGGGGUUACAGCCUUGCUGAAUUAUUCACCCUUGUCUUUUGCGUACUUCCUGUUUCCUUGGUGGGUUCGCCCACCACUAGGACAAACAUAAACCUUUUGUAAUUGCAAUCAGCGUCAGUAACAAAUUAAUAAUUACAACUUUCAACAACGGAUCUCUUGGUUCUGGCAUCGAUGAAGAACGCAGCGAAAUGCGAUAAGUAGUGUGAAUUGCAGAAUUCAGUGAAUCAUCGAAUCUUUGAACGCACAUUGCGCCCUUUGGUAUUCCAAAGGGCAUGCCUGUUCGAGCGUCAUUUGUACCCUCAAGCUUUGCUUGGUGUUGGGCGUCUUGUCUCUAGCUUUGCUGGAGACUCGCCUUAAAGUAAUUGGCAGCCGGCCUACUGGUUUCGGAGCGCAGCACAAGUCGCACUCUCUAUCAGCAAAGGUCUAGCAUCCAUUAAGCCUUUUUUUCAACUUUUGACCUCGGAUCAGGUAGGGAUACCCGCUGAACUUAAGCAUAUCA
rnacentral:rRNA from 1 species